GUAAGUAACAACAAGAGAGUCAAGACAUUUGGAUUUGAAAUGGUAAGUCACCACAAAAGACUCAAUCAGGUGUGAAUUGCAAGUUAAAUUAUGAAACAAGUUUAUGUUUAUGCGUGACUAGAGCCUAUUUUGCUUAUGGAAAGUUUGAUCAUAAAAUAAAAGUUUGCCCUUUGAACAAGAAGAAAGAGUCACUGCCUCCUAAAUCAUCAGCCCAUGUCAGAGUGUAUGCUAUCACUGAAUAUGAUUUUAAGACUUCUGAAUUAGUGGUCGAAGGUAUUAUGUAUGUUUAUGAAAGAAUGCAAAUAUUUGUUUGAACAUGGGUUCUAUCUACGAUUUGAUUCGUAACAUAUUGCCUAUCACUUGGGUAUUCAACCUAGACCACUGUAUUAUGUGAUAUAUGUAAGUACAAUCAUUAGAGAUUCUUUGAUAACGAACUUGAAUCUGGUCCUCUUGUCUGAUUUUUGUUGGAGAACUUGAACUUUUGCUGAUUUAGUUCUCCUAGAGAUUUGGAGUUAUGAUAUUAUACUUGGUAUGCAUUGGCUAUCUUCUUAUCAUACCAGUAUAGAUUGGUAUAUAACAAAUGAUCACUUUUUGCAUAUUUGAUCAGCCGAUCUUUUAUUUUGAGAGUAUUGGACAUUAUUUAUCUCCUUGCCUAAUGUAUCCCAGGAUGACUUGCCUGGAUUACCUCCAAAUGUGAUUUUGCUUUUGAUUUGGUCCUUGGGACAAUCCCUAUAUCUAAGCCUCUCUGCAGAAUGAUAUCAUUUGAGUAAGUGGAAUUAGAAAAACAACUACAAGGAUUAUUAAAUGAGGAUUUUAUUUGGCUUAAUAUUUUAUCAUGGGGUGCUCUGGUGUUAGUUAAAAAGAUGGAUGGAACAUGGAGGCUUUGUAUUGAUUAUGGAUAAUUGAAUCAGGUGAUCAUCAAAAACGAGUAUUUUCUGAAGUAACGAUUUGCUUGAUUAAUUACAGGUGCGCAAGUAUUUUUGAAAGAUUGAUUGAAGGUCGGGUUUACCAUCUAUUGAGAAUCAAGAAGGAGAAUAUUUUGGUCACUCUUGGAAAAUUGUGUAAUUGUAUUGAAUUUAUGAAAUUAUUUAAGAGUAGGAGGAGGAAAUAAAGAAAUCAUAAUCCUCAUCUUUUCAUCGAUUGAGCUAUGACCAAUUUAGAGGACUAAAUUUUCUUUUAAGGGGAGGAGAGUGUAAUAUCCCCCACUUUUAAAAAUAUAUUAAUAAGGAUUUAUAUGUAAAUUGGGGGACCUAUAUGUAAAUAUAGAAAUUACAAGGACUAAACUGCUAAGUUGCAAAAAGAAAAAAAAAAAAGAAAAGGAAAAACCGAAAAUUCGGUAUUAUCCCACCGCCUCCCACGCACUCUGUUUCUUUCCAGAAACAGAGAGAGCGGUGGGGCAUGAGGAGAAGAAGGAGAGUGGUUGAAGAAAAGAAGAAGAAGAGGGAAAAGAAGAGAGGAGGAAGAAGAGAGGAAGAAGAGAGGAAGAAGAGGGAGAAGAGAAGAAGAUGAAGAAGAAGAAGAAGAGGAGGUGGCUGCAGCGAGGGCUGCAGCGAGAAGCUGUGGGGCGUGGGGAGAAGAAGAGAGGAAGAAGAGGGAGAAGAGAAGAAGAAGAAGAAGAGAGGAUGAUAGCUGCGGCAAGGCUGCAGCGAGGAGGUGUGUGGGGUUGGGGAGGAAAAGGGAAGAGGAGAAGAAAAGAAGGAGAAGAAGAGGGAAAAGAGAGGGAAGAGGGAGAGGAGUGAGAGGUGGCAGCAGCUAGGGCUGCAGCACCUCUGUUUCCUGCAGGUGGAAACAGAGGAGAGGUGGGGCGUUCGAAGAGGAGAAGAAGAAGAAGAAGGAAGAGAAGAGGAAGAGGAAGCAGGAGAAGAGGUUGUGAUACCUCUGUUUCCUGCAGAGGAAACAGAGGAGAGGGUGUGUGUGACGUCGGGGAGAAGAAGGGGAGGAAGAAGAAGAAGAGAAGAAGAAGAAAGGAAGGAGAGGAAGAAGAGAAGGGAAAGGAGGAGCUGCGGCUGCGGCGGUGGCAGCUGCAGCUGGAAGAGAAGGAGAGGAAGAGAUGGUGAGGAAGAAGAGAAGAAGUAGAAGCGGGUGAAGAGGCGGCACCUCUGUUUCCUGCAGGAGGAAACAGAGGAAAGGAGGUGCUGUUCGUCGGGGAGAAGAAGGGGGCUGCAGCUGCGGCGAUGGCAGCUGCAGCUGGAAGAGAAGAAGAAGAGGAAGAUGAGCAGGGGAGGAGGGAGAGGUUGCGGCCGUGGCUGCGGCCGCGACUGCAGCAGUUGCAGCGGGGAGAGAAGAAGAAGAAAGGAAGGAGAAGGAAGAGGAGAAGGGAAAGAAGUAGCUGCGGCUGCGGUUGUGGUAGCUGCAGCUGUGGCAGGGAAAGAGGAAGAGAAAAAGGAAAGGAAGAAGAAGAGAAAGGGAAGGAGAGGAAGAAGAGAGGAAGAGGAGAAGGGGAUGCGGCUGCGGCGAUGGCAGCUGCAGCUGUGGCUGGGAAAGAAGAGAAGGAAAGGAAGAAGACGAGAAUGGGAAGGAGAGGAAGAAGAGAGGAAGAGGAGAAGGGGUGGCAGCUGCGGCAGUGGCAGCUGCAGCUGGAAGAGGAGGAGGAAAUAGAGCAGGGGAGGAAGAAGAGGCUGCGAGUGUGGUGGCUGCGGCCGUGGCUGCGACUCCGGCUGCGGCUGCGACGUUGGCUGCGGUAGCUGCGGCAGCGGUGGUGGCUGCAGUAGCUGCAGUAGCUGCUUUUGGGAAAGAGAAAGAGUAGGAACGAGAGAAGGGAAGAAGGAAAUAGUGCAGUGGAAGGGGGCUGCGGUGGUGACCGCAGUUGCGAUUGUGGCAGCGGCAGCGGCGGCGGCUGUGGCAGCUGCGUUUGGGAAAGAAAAAGAAGGAAUGAGAGUAAGAGAGAGAGCAGGUGACUGUGCCUCGAUGUUCGACACGUGAUGUAGUUACGAAGAAAGGAAGAAAACGGGAGCACAAAACGAAACAGAGAGAGGACACGGAGGAAAAGUAGAAAGAUUGGACUGGCACCUUCCUUGGAUAUUCAGAUCAAAAUAUUUGAAAGGUCAGCUUGUCACUCUUCGAGAUGUUUGAUUUGGGCUGAGGCAGUGGAUAGCUAUUCAGGAUUAUGGGCAAGUCCUGUUGGUUGUUAUGCUAUUGUUGUAUAAGCAUAUUUUGUAUGUAAUGAAUUGUUCUGAUGAUCGAAAUGGAUAUACUGUGUAAAAGUGUUAGAAGAUCUCUCUUAUUUGGAAUUUCGGAAUGUUAAGUCUAAUUUAUGACGAUAUGAACUUGUGGUGAAUAGUUGGAGUUCUGAUUGUAUAAUUUAUUUAGCUUGUGGAUUUAUAAAUGUUGUUCAUGUUUGUCAA